rnacentral:rRNA from 1 species
CCUACGGGAGGCAGCAGUGGGGAAUAUUGGACAAUGGGGGAAACCCUGAUGCAGCGACGCAGCGUGAGGGAAGAAGGAAUUAGUGAUGUAAAGCUCUAUCAGCAGGGAAGAAAAUGACGGUACCUGAGUAAGAAGCUCCGGCUAACUACGUGCCAGCAGCCGCGGUAAGACGUAGGGGGCAAGCGUUAUCCGGAUUUACUGGGUGUAAAGGGAGCGUAGGCGGCAGGGCAAGUCUGGAGUGAAAGGCGGGGGCUCAACCCCCGGACUGCAGUGGAAACUGUACGGCUGGAGUGCAGGAGAGGUGAGUGGAAUUCCUGGUGUAGCGGUGAAAUGCUUAGAUAUUAGGAGGAACACCGGUGGCGAAGGCAGCUUACUGGACUGUAACUGACGUUGAGGCUCGAAAGCGUGGGGAGCAAACAGGAUUAGAUACCCGUGUAGUC